rnacentral:rRNA from 1 species
UUCGCAAUGCCCGAAAGGGUGACGAAGCGACGCCGCGUGCGGGAAGAAGGCCUUCGGGUUGUAAACCGCUGUCGGGAGUUAAGAAAUGUAAGGAUGUUAAUAGCAUCUUUGCUUGACUAAGGCUCCGGAGGAAGCCACGGCUAACUCUGUGCCAGCAGCCGCGGUAAUACAGAGGCGGCAAGCGUUGUUCGGAAUUAUUGGGCGUAAAGAGCACGUAGGCGGCUAUGUAAGUCGGUUGUGAAAGCCUUCCGCUCAACGGGAGAACAGCAUCUGAUACUGCAGGACUCGAGUGCGGGAGGGGAGAGUGGAACUUCUGGUGGAGCGGUGAAAUGCGUAGAUAUCAGAAGGAACGCCGGCGGCGAAAGCGGCUCUCUGGCCCAUAACUGACGCUGAGUGUGCGAAAGCUAGGGGAGCAAACGGGAUUAGAUACCCCGGUAGUCCUAGCCGUAAGCGAUGGGCACUAAGUAGAGGGGUUUU